ACCACUUUCAACUUUAAACCA
rnacentral:misc_RNA from 1 species